CUGAUGAAGGCGGAAGUACAAGUCGAAACAUGUCAGGUGCUUCAGUUUAUUGCUGGCUGAGCAAAAAACCCGAAGAGGACGAGAGAGCACUGACAUGGACUAAUCAAGGACGGUCCUAAUUUUAUGUUUAUUUUUAAAGCUCAGCUAAAUGUUUUAUUUUAAAGUGGGCUACUUUCUGUUGUAUUCAGUGGUUAUAACAGCUAGAAUUAAAAAAAAAGAUGAGAACGUUUAAAAGUU